rnacentral:tRNA from 1 species
GGGGAUGUAGCUCAGUGGUUAAGUGCCUCUGGGUUCAAUCCUUGGUACCAAAAAAAAAAAAAAAAAAAAAAGAUCCAAAAGUAUGUGGGUUCAAACCCCUGGUCCCCA